rnacentral:tRNA from 15 species
CGCCAAGCGGUAAGGCACCGGAUUCUGAUUCCGGCAUUCCGAGGUUCGAAUCCUCGUACCCCAGCCA